rnacentral:rRNA from 1 species
GAUGAACGCUGGCGGCGUGCCUAAUACAUGCAAGUCGAGCGAACGGACGAGAAGCUUGCUUCUCUGAUGUUAGCGGCGGACGGGUGAGUAACACGUGGAUAACCUACCUAUAAGACUGGGAUAACUUCGGGAAACCGUAGCUAAUACCGGAUAAUAUUUUGAACCGCAUGGUUCAAAAGUGAAAGACGUUCUUGCUGUCACUUAUAGAUGUAUCCGCGCUGCAUUAGCUAGUUGGUAAGGUAACGGCUUACCAAGGCAACGAUGCAUAGCCGACCUGAGAGGGUGAUCGGCCAAACUGGAAAUGAGACAAGGGCCAGAAUCCUAAGGGAGGCAGCAGUAGGGAAUCUUCCGAAAUGGGCGAAAGCCUGAAGGAGCAAAGCCGCGUGAGUGAUGAAGGUCUUCGGAUCGUAAAACUCUGUUAUUAGGGAAGAACAUAUGUGUAAGUAACUGUGCACAGCUUGACGGUACCUAAUCAGAAAGCCACGGCUAACUAAGUG